rnacentral:rRNA from 1 species
UGAGCUGAGAGUUUGAUCCUGGCUCAGGACGAACGCUGGCGGCGUGCUUAACACAUGCAAGUUGAACGACGGUCAUUUGAGACAGCAAUGUGGAAGAUGA